AUUGAACGCUGGCGGCAUGCCUUACACAUGCAAGUCGAACGGUAACGGGCCUUCGGGUGCCGACGAGUGGCGAACGGGUGAGUAAUACAUCGGAACGUGCCCGAUCGUGGGGGAUAACGAGGCGAAAGCUUUGCUAAUACCGCAUACGAUCUACGGAUGAAAGCAGGGGACCGCAAGGCCUUGCGCGGACGGAGCGGCCGAUGGCAGAUUAGGUAGUUGGUGGGAUAAAAGCUUACCAAGCCGACGAUCUGUAGCUGGUCUGAGAGGAUGAUCAGCCACACUGGAACUGAGACACGGCCCAGACUCCUACGGGAGGCAGCAGUGGGGAAUUUUGGACAAUGGGCGAAAGCCUGAUCCAGCCAUGCCGCGUGAAGGAUGAAGGCCUUCGGGUUGUAAAAUGCUUUUGUACGGAAAGAAAAGACUUCUUUUAAUACAGGAGGGUCAUGACGGUACCGUAAGAAUAAGCACCGGCUAACUACGUG
rnacentral:rRNA from 1 species